GUUGAUGAUGAGUAGUGGACACAAAAGCCACAGCUUGAGCCCACGCCUUAAGCCUCGCUUUCACGUCUUUUGGAUCAUCCCCUGAAAU
rnacentral:misc_RNA from 1 species